rnacentral:rRNA from 1 species
GACGAACGCUGGCGGCGUGCCUAAUACAUGCAAGUCGAACGCAGUGGGGACGGGUGAGUAACACGUGGGUAACCUCCCAUCAGAGGGGAUAACACUUGGAAACAGGUGCUAAACCGAUACUGAUGGAUGGACCCGCGGUGCAUUAGCUAGUGGGGGGGGUAACGGCUCACCAAGGCCACGAUGCAUAGCCGACCUGAGGGGGGGAGCGGCCACACGGGAACGGAGACACGGCCCAGAGUCCUACGGUAGGAAGCAGGGGGGAAUCUUCGGCAAUGGCCGAAAGUUUGACCGAGCAAGCCGGGGGGGGUGAAGAAGGUUUUCGGUUGGUAAACCCCUGUUGUUAGAGAAGCGGUAUCUAACCAGAAAGCCACGGCUAACUACGUGCCAGCAGCCGCGGUAAUUC